rnacentral:lncRNA from 10 species
GGCAGGAGAAUUGCUUGAACCCAGGAGGCAGAGGUUGCAGUGAGCUGAGAUCAUGCUAUUGCACUCCAGCCUGGAUGACAGAGUAGUACUUUGUCUCAAAAAAAAAAAAAAAAUUUGAGAUGAAGUCUCACUCUGUUGCCCAGGCUGGACUGCAGUGGCAUGAUCGCGGCUCACUGCAACCUCUGCCUCCCAGGUUCAAGGAUUCUCCUGCCUCAGCCUCCUGAGUAGCUAGGACUACAGGCAUGCGCUACCAAGCCCAGC